GACGAACGCUGGCGGCGUGCUUAACACAUGCAAGUCGAACGGAAAGGCCCUGCUUUUGUGGGGUGCUCGAGUGGCGAACGGGUGAGUAACACGUGAGUAACCUGCCCUUGACUUUGGGAUAACUUCAGGAAACUGGGGCUAAUACCGGAUAGGAGCUCCUGCUGCAUGGUGGGGGUUGGAAAGUUUCGGCGGUUGGGGAUGGACUCGCGGCUUAUCAGCUUGUUGGUGGGGUAGUGGCUUACCAAGGCUUUGACGGGUAGCCGGCCUGAGAGGGUGACCGGCCACAUUGGGACUGAGAUACGGCCCAGACUCCUACGGGAGGCAGCAGUGGGGAAUAUUGCACAAUGGGCGGAAGCCUGAUGCAGCAACGCCGCGUGCGGGAUGACGGCCUUCGGGUUGUAAACCGCUUUCGCCUGUGACGAAGCGUGAGUGACGGUAAUGGGUAAAGAAGUACCGGCUAGCUACGUG
rnacentral:rRNA from 1 species